rnacentral:rRNA from 1 species
UACGGAGGGUGCGAGCGUUGUCCGGAAUCAUUGGGCGUAAAGGGCGCGUAGGUGGCGGGACAAGCGUGCGGUGAAAGCCUGGGGCUCAACCCCGGGUCGGCCGUGCGAACUGUUUUGCUUGAGCACUGUAGAGGCAGGCGGAAUUCCGGGUGUAGCGGUGGAAUGCGCAGAUAUCAGGAGGAACACCAAUUGCGAAGGCAGCUCGCUGGGACGUGACUGACGCUGAGACGCGAAAGCGUGGGGAGCAAACAGG